GGGGAUUCGUGAGGGCAUGUUUGACCCGCUGACAAAACAACAGCUUGCCGGCUUGUGUCUGAGGAUUGUCCAGUUUUUAUCGGACAAGCUGAUGCAGAUCAUCAUCCCAGGACUCUAACCUCUCUGUCUGAUGUGCAGAAGAAAACAACCAACUCUGAGACGCUACAAGUCCUCUUAGGUGUCUCAGAGGACACCCUCGUCACCUGUGUGCAGGACAGCCUGCAAGGUUCUCUCUCCAAACUUGCAUGCAUGUCCAAUUCUCCAUCUGGAAGUGCAGGCUCUAUGAUGCUAACCCCUGCUGUAAUGGCAGAGUUGGCUAAAGAUGUCAAGUCGACCUUAUCAGUGGUCGUUAAGAGUGCCUCCGCAAGUCAAACCUCUCUAGUGACACCGGUAAGGGGAGACUCACAGACCAAGGUGACUGAGAGCAUGGUGAGAGAGCUGGCUGCUAAACUUGAAAAAGUUGACCAAGAGAGCAAGAGUCUAACAGGGCAAGUCAUGACCACCAUCUCUGACACAAUGGUGGCUUUUGUUGACGAGAACCAACAGAAUUUGCUGGAAGAUCUGAAGGACAAGAUCACGUUUUUGGCAUCGCAUGUUGGCUUCAUUGAGGAUCUUGAUGCCCUGAUAAGGAAAUACGAGACCAGCUACAAUAUUAGUGAAUCUGGUUCCUCCUGCACGCUCACAUCUAAGAGCAUCCAAAAACUCUCUAGCCGGGAGUUUCAAACAUCAGCAAUACAAGCAGUGAGUGGAGUUCUUGACAAAAAAAGUCAGUAGUUUGAGCUUUCCUAGUUCAGUCAUUCAGUCUGAGUUAACAGGUGCUGUGUCAGGUCAAACAUUGUCUGGCAUUGUAAAGACAGAGUCAAUUCACCCAGUGGGCUCAGCAGCGUCAGUAGUUGUUAAGACUUUCGUGUCAGAUAUGAAGUCCUUGGCUGAAUCUGAAGAGAGUCCCCAACAGAAGAGUGCCUGGUCUGCUGCUGUUCACAUUUACCACAGCGUCCAAAACAACUUGAAAGAUUAUUUCGGCAAGCUUCAGCGAUGUGCCUUAAAGAGCAUUGUCACAUCUGAUGACAACAUCACAAAUGCUGAGUUUAAGGAGACAGUUCAACUUCCUUGCUUAAACAUGAAAUAUAGGCCCAGUAAGAGUGAGCCUCAGUUGCCAGAGUCC